GAGGUGGUUGCUCAGUGGUAGAGUGCAUGCUUUGUGUGUAGAAUGUCCCGGGUUCGAUCCCCAGCUUCUACC